rnacentral:rRNA from 1 species
UGAGUUUGAUUAUGGCUCAGAUUGAACGCUGGCGGCAGGCCUAACACAUGCAAGUCGAGCGGUAACAGGACUAGCUUGCUAGUUGCUGACGAGCGGCGGACGGGUGCGUAACACGUAGGAAUCUGCCCGGUAGUGGGGGAUAGCCCGGAGAAAUCCGGAUUAAUACCGCAUACGCCUUACGAGGGAAAGGAGGGGCCUCUUCGGAGCCUUUCGCUAUCGGAUGAGCCUGCGUCGGAUUAGCUAGUUGGUGGGGUAAAGGCCUACCAAGGCGACGAUCCGUAGCUGGUCUGAGAGGAUGAUCAGCCACACUGGGACUGAGACACGGCCCAGACUCCUACGGGAGGCAGCAGUGGGGAAUAUUGCACAAUGGGGGAAACCCUGAUGCAGCCAUGCCGCGUGUGUGAAGAAGGCUCUAGGGUUGUAAAGCACUUUCAGCGAGGAGGAAAGGUUGCUGGUUAAUACCCAGCGGCUGUGACGUUACUCGCAGAAGAAGCACCGGCUAACUCCGUGCCAGCAGCCGCGGUAAUACGGAGGGUGCGAGCGUUAAUCGGAAUUACUGGGCGUAAAGCGUGCGUAGGCG